rnacentral:rRNA from 1 species
AGGCUGCAGUGAGGAAUUUUGCGCAAUGGGGGAAACCCUGACGCAGCGACGCCGCGUGGGUGAUGAAGGCCUUCGGGUCGUAAAGCCCUGUCAGGAGGGAAGAAUGGCUUUUAGGUCAAUAGCCUAAUAGUUUGACGGUACCUCCAAAGGAAGCACCGGCCAACUCCGUGCCAGCAGCCGCGGUAACACGGAGGGUGCAAGCGUUGUUCGGAAUCACUGGGCGUAAAGGGCGAGCAGGCGGUUGGGUAUGUCAGGUGUGAAAGCCCUAGGCUCAACCUAGGAAGUGCAUUUGAUACUGCCCAUCUUGAGUACGGGAGAGGGAGGCGGAAUUCCCAGUGUAGAGGUGAAAUUCGUAGAUACUGGGAGGAACACCGGUGGCGAAGGCGGCCUCCUGGACCGAUACUGACGCUGAGGCGCGAAAGCGUGGGGAGCAAACAGGAUUAGAUACCCCUGUAGUC